GCCCGGCUAGCUCAAUCGGUAGAGCGUGAGACUCUUAGCUUUCACGUCCUAAUCAGACACGAUUGGUUAUCUCAAGGUUGUGGGUUCGACCCCCACGUCGGGCU